AACGAUAUAAUACAGCAUGGAUUGUUGUGCUGUGUGUCGAAUGGUACUUGCUGUUACAUCGUAACAGCCAAUCCCAUUCAAGUGARGAAUGUUUGCAACGUGGCUUUGUGAUGGUGUCAAAGCUCCUGAAUGAUGUGAACGCGAUUGUUACCGUAUCAAAAUGUGCUCGAUGAGUAUGAGAUGWGUUUGAUCGGGGACCUGCUCUUAACAAUCGAUUGUUCAGACAUCAUUUGCAU
rnacentral:rRNA from 1 species